rnacentral:rRNA from 1 species
GAUGAACGCUGGCGGCGUGCUUAACACAUGCAAGUCGAACGGAAAGGCUCCUGCUUGCAGGGGUACUCGAGUGGCGAACGGGUGAGUAACACGUGGGUGAUCUGCCCUGCACUUCGGGAUAAGCCUGGGAAACUGGGUCUAAUACCGGAUAGGACCACAUUUUGGAUGGUGUGGUGGAAAGUUUUUCGGUGUGGGAUGAGCUCGCGGCCUAUCAGCUUGUUGGUGGGGUAAUGGCCUACCAAGGCGUCGACGGGUAGCCGGCCUGAGAGGGGGUACGGCCACAUUGGGCCUGAGAUACGGCCCAGACUCCUACGGGAGGCAGCAGUGGGGAAUAUUGCACAAUGGGCGCAAGCCUGAUGCAGCGACGCCGCGUGGGGGAUGACGGCCUUCGGGUUGUAAACUCCUUUCGCUAGGGACGAAGCGCAAGUGACGGUACCUGGAGAAGAAGCACCGGCUAACUACGUG